AUUUGUAUUUAAGUUUCAACUGUAAAUUGUUUUGAAAUAUUUUUUAAUAAGAAUGAAGUUUGUCUAUAAAUUUUUGUUUGAUAGUUUCCGUUUCUGAAUUAUUCAGUGUUUUCCAUGUAUUAGUCGUCAUAUACUGAUUUUCGUUCUCCUUAUGAUGUGUAGUAGUGACAUUUUAUCCUCCAACCAUUAUGCAUGUUUAACCGACUAUAAUUUUUUAAGAUGGCACUUUAGCUGAUCACUCAACGAAUGCUGAGUCAUGAAUUCUCAUUUAUACUACAUGGGAAAAGUAUCAACUUGGUACGUUGAAAAUGGACUUGAAUGUACUGACGAUAAUAACGAACUUAUGCCAAAUGGCAGUACAGGAGAUCACUUUGGGCAUGCUGAGUCAUGAAGUCGCAUUCAUACUACUUGGGGAAAGUAUCGACAUCAUACGUUGAAAAGGAACACGAAGAUACUGAUAAUAACAUUGGAUUUUUACAAUGUAUGUGUAAUGGUUAUUAAAUGUAAUUGAUAGUAAAUUUAUAGUAGUGAAACAAUUGAAAUUUGUUAAAAGUCUGAAUAAAAGAUUGGUUAACACCUUUA